AAAGAAAAAUGCCUUUUAGAAUUGUUUUUUUGGUCAAAACCUUUUGGAAUGUUUACACGGAAAAAACUUUUCUUUACAAAGAUUUUUUUUUCCUUUUUGGUGUUUAUAGUUUGAUCACUUAUCGAGUUGCUCUUCCAUUUUCCGGAUUAGAUCUUCGCUUUACAAUAUUUGUUGUGUUUUUCAUCCCAAAACAGAAUUGUUCUUAACGUUUCUGUGACUCUGUCUUUUAUAUCUGUUUUUUUUGUUUCCUAAUAAAAUCCAAGUUUUGUUGAUCGGUUUGUUCAAGUUUCUACUCUCUUUUCAUUGGUGUAUAGUGUAUUUGGUUAGCAUGAAAUCAUCAUAUCCCAAAUGCUCCCGUGGAUUUUUUUUCUCAUAGUUAUUUAUCCUCAACCUUUACUCUCCGAAGAAAUCAAUCUUUGCCUCUAAGUUUGGGUACAAUAUUUUUAAGAGAUGAAGUCCUGACUUUUCGAUGAAGGUGAAGAUUUCCUUGGUGGCAGAGGGAUAAAGAGAGCGGAAUAAUCAAAUGGAAUCAAACUGUAGGUUGAAUUGCAGCUCCGGAAUUGUUUCCCGGUUACUGCACAAUUUACUCUCUUUGAGUCAACAGGUAGCCUCCAUUAAACUUUAUUCAAAGACAAGUGGGAUAAGAAGGUGGCUUUCAUAUGUUUAACCUAAUUAUGUAAUGGGCUUAGAAAUGGGUUAAUCUUUGUAAUGAGUUUAAGUUUGA